GAACAAUUUUGCUGCGACCCCAGGAUGGGAUGCCUGGGAUGGCCCCCCUCCGCGCUGAGCUAAACCCCCAGCAGAGCUGAAGCCCCUCACUACACCAUUCCAGCCACCACCCUGGCAGCGUGGCUGCCUCUCCGCCCUUCCCUGGGGGCAGGAAUGCUGUUUCUGCUGAAACCCUAAGCGGAGACCAGGUGCUAUAAGGAGAUAAUCCAAAUGGAACCAGGUGUUAAUGAAUGAAGACCGUCCUUCAUCUUGCUCCAGGUUUCUGGCUGUGAUUUUCUUCUCUCCUAUUUGUGGUGGGCUUAACUGUUUGCACUGGCACCACCCUGGGCUUCCUGUUGACAAUUUCUGUUAGAAUUUUAAGAAUGCCACAGAGAGAGGGAGAGAGUGAACAGAGGACAGAUUCUAGGUAGACAGCAGUCAGGGAAAGAAUAUGCAGUAAUCUUGAGUUGGGGAAGAAGGGACAGAAAUGUUUUUUAGAGAAAGUGAAGACAUUGUCAGGACUCAGGGAAAUGCGGUAAGUCUCUCUGUCAGCAAAGCAUUUAUUGAGCACCUACUCCAUACGGGCUCAGCUUCGACACGAGAUUCCAAGGACCUGGGAGGCCUGAUUCCUGCCUUUGAGUGCUUAGAGUUUAAUGGACAAUCAGAAGAACAGAGAAAGAAUCACAGCAGUCUGGCUGAAUGUGCCAAUCAUACAGUUCCCAAGGGUUUCCGGCUGAAGGAACAAUUGGAUGUAAUUAACCAAAAGCCUUCCUGAAAGAGGCAGUUUGUCAGAGAUGAAGGUCAUGGGUUGAAGGAAAGGAGCUCAGGGUCCAGGACAGCAGGUGCAAAGGCUUAAUGCUAAUGGGUUGUCCCAGAGGGUGAAAGAAGCCCCCUCCUCAACUGCUCUGUGAGUCUCCCUUCACCUUGAGCCCUCUUUCACUGGCCCAGCAGGGACCGAGCAGGGGGCUGCUAAUGGUCUAACCUCGCUGGAUCGCAGGACUCCAAAGAACGGGUAGAGGAAGGCAGGCACCAGGGCUGCAGCUCCAAGAGGCACCGCCUCGGACACCCAGUACACAGCAGUCACGAUCAACACUCUGACCACCCCGAUGAAAUACCAUUCAGGCUCCACUGGAAGGAGCUUGAGGUCAUGUCAUUUGGUGUCAUAAAUGACUGGAAGGGCUUUUGAAAAUUUAGCUUGGGAGUUGGGUGUAACUUUUAUCCCACCGGGAUGCUGAAGCUGGGCUUCGUUGCAGAUGCCGCCCUCUUGACCUUCCUCUUCUGCGUAUGGGAAAUCAAGUCUCGGCCCCUGGCUUUAGAGAGCUGGGCAGGAAAAAAGGGGAGGUCAUACUGAUCCUUCCUAAAAUGCAGCUGCAGCUUGUCACUUUGAAGAAGCAUCAGAACUGCAGGCCAGGAGCUCUUGCCCAGAUCACUUCUCUCAGUUCCAGCCCAGAGCAAACGAGGCUAUUUAGGGAUCUUAAGGAUUAAAGAUCAGAAUCUAAGUGUGAUGCGAGGGGGCCGAAUAGAUGAGAGCCAGUCCGCGGG